UAACUUAAGAAAUCUAAAAAAAAGUAUUUAUAUUUACAGGUGAAAAUGCAACGGCUAUGUCCAGAUCAUGAGGUGCAAUGGGAUCUUCAAUCCUCUUAAAGGAUAUGAAAAGGAUUCUACAACAGCAGGGCAUUUUGAUAGGCCGUUGAUAAAAAGCUUUGCAGGCUUUUUCUAACAUCUACGUUGAUAUUUUGCUUCUCGUGAGCGCGACAAAAGUUUAUAAAGGCAGAAUUAAUCACGGGGGCUUUUCUGGCCCUAACUAUAGGUUUCUUCUUGGUCUGCUUACGUAUAGU